GAAAGCUCGCUUUUGACUAAACUUAGUGGCGGACGGGUGAGUAACGCGUGGGUAACCUGCCUUAUCCAGGGGGAUAACAGUGAGAAAUUACUGCUAAUACCGCAUAAGCGCACAGAAUCGCAUGAUUCAGUGUGAAAAGAUUUAUCGGGAUAAGAUGGACCCGCGUCUGAUUAGCUAGUUGGUGAGGUAACGGCCCACCAAGGCGACGAUCAGUAGCCGGCCUGAGAGGGUGAACGGCCACAUUGGGACUGAGACACGGCCCAAACUCCUACGGGAGGCAGCAGUGGGGAAUAUUGCACAAUGGGGGAAACCCUGAUGCAGCGACGCCGCGUGAGUGAUGAAGUAUUUCGGUAUGUAAAGCUCUAUCAGCAGGGAAGAAAAUGACGGUACCUGACUAAGAAGCCCCGGCUAACUACGUGCCAGCAGCCGCGGUAAUACGUAGGGGGCAAGCGUUAUCCGGAUUUACUGGGUGUAAAGGGAGCGUAGACGGCAUGGCAAGUCUGAAGUGAAAUGCGGGGGCUCAACCCCUGAACUGCUUUGGAAACUGUUAAGCUAGAGUGUCGGAGAGGUAAGUGGAAUUCCUAGUGUAGCGGUGAAAUGCGUAGAUAUUAGGAGGAACACCGGUGGCGAAGGCGGCUUACUGGACGAUGACUGACGUUG
rnacentral:rRNA from 1 species